CAGAAUUCCCACAAUUUCUCGCGUCUAGGGUUUAGUUUAAAAGCCGUUUUUUCAAUUCAAUUUCGUUUUGAUUUCAGUGAGGCAAAUCUCAAUUUGGGAACUAGAAGCGUGGUGUGGAAGAACGAGAGUGAUAAUGGCGGCCUCGAGCCUCUGGAUUUAUUUGUCGAGACUGGUGUGGAUGAAAGAUCCGCGGAGGAUACGGUCGCCAACGCUAAGUGUCGAAGGCGUAAACUGGAAUCGCCAAGGUUAACCCUAUCGGCAUUCAAGUCAUUCACUUUCUUGAAGAUAUGGAAGAAUUCUUGAUGUGAUAGCGCCAUUUUUAAGGUACACAUACUCUGUGAUUCGAUAUAAUUAGGAUUGGAAAUGUUCAUUGAUUUUUUCUCCAUUGCA